rnacentral:lncRNA from 1 species
GCAAACACAUCCAGCAAUCCAAUGAUUAAUUAAUCAAAAUCGAGACCUGGCCUGUGUCUGUGUGACUGCAGCCCAGAGGAGGAACGGAGCUGUUGAAAGGCAAAGAGCAACAGAGCCGAGAGCUGCUGGCUCAGCCCUGCUGCUGCUCCUGGAAUUUACCGUGCUGCUUCACUUUUACCACGUGUGGAGCUCAGAUAAAGAACUGGAAAGGAAAGCAAACCGUGGAAAACCUUGUGAUUUCACUUCUUGUCUGAUAAGAAACCCCCUCUGUUUGGUGGCCGCUUGUAGCUGUUUGAUAUUUCUUGUUCUGCUCAGAGGAGGAAUCUCAAGUUGGGAAGUUCUUGGCUCUGCCCUCCGAGGGAGAAGAAGCAAGAAAAAUGACCAAAAAUGCAGGAAAACCCCUCCUUUUGAAUGUGACCAGCACACCCCGACUCUGUGAGCCUUGGUGAGAUGAUGAAAGAGCAGCCUCACCCCCAGCCACCGCUCUGAGCAUCACCGUGGCUCAGACAGAACAAAUCCAGGCUGAAGCACCAGCUUUUACUAAUCCCACCACGGAUUUGUGCAAUCAGAGCCUUCCAAGAAACGGGACCGCGUUUUCCUGAAGUGUCUCGCAGUUAUCGCCGAGAUUUUCCAGCUCUGGCUGGGAGAUUGUUCCUGGUGACUUCCAGUUCUUGGUGAGUCACCCCUGAACAAUCACGUCAGAACAAAGGGAUUGGAACAGAGCUCAGUGGGACAACGUUUUUAAUUUAAUCUGAGAAGGUUUCUUUAUGGAGAGAAGGCUCCGCUUCUGAUUCCAGGGACAGAGAAGAAAAGUCUUUGCUCUUACCUUAAUCAGUCCUAAUGAACCAAAAAUGUCUGAUGGCCUGAGCCAGUAUUGUUACUUAGAACUUUUCUCCAAAAAGUCUCAUUUUAGGUCAGUCUUGGAUCCAAUCAGAAAAAUAAAACUUAAUGAAAAGCCUUUUUUUUUUUUUUU